CUGUGAGGGUGGUGAAGCACUAAAACAGGUUGCCCAGAGAAGUUGUGAACACCCUGUCUGUGGAAGUGUUCAAGGCCAGGUUGAAUGGAGCUCUGAGCAGCCUGGUGUAGUGGAAGAUGUCCUUGUCCAUAGCAAAGGGAUGGAAUGAGGUAAUCUUUAGGAUCCCUUCUAACCCAGACCAUUCUAUGAUUCUAUUAUUUUAAUUUCAUUUUCAGACCAACCUGUGCUUUGUGAGUUUUGAUGAUCUUCCCUCUUUCCUUGCCCAAAGGAAACUGUUUGUGACAUCUGGGGAAGAUUAUACAAAGCCAGCAACAUCUCCUGUUGAUACCCCUGAUGGCCAAGAGACUGCCUUUUCCAAAAUGAAAUCUGUCCUAGAAAAAGAUCUCCAGUUUGUGGUAAAAAUAACUAUUACUUCAGAGGCCCAUGGAAAAGCACCUGCCUGGGUAGCAGGAGACUGGCAAAUCACAGAUACAAAAAUGGAUGUGACACCUUCUGUGCAGAACCUCCAUUGGUGACGUUGAGCUGCCCCAGCUUCCUUUUUUCCUUGGAGAACUUUGUAUUAUCUUGAUUCUUAGUGACACAUGGAAGGUAAAAUGGUCUAAAUCUUAAUGAUUCGUGGGAUGGGGACUGUUUGUCAGCUUCAAUAAAUCUGUUAGCCUCUUUGACA
rnacentral:lncRNA from 1 species